AAUUCGAUGAUACGCGAGGAACCUUACCUGGGCUCAAAUGUAUGUUGACGUAUUCUGAAAGGGAUACUUCUUCGGACAAUAUACAAGGUGCUGCAUGGUUGUCGUCAGCUCGUGCCGUGAGGUGUCGGGUUAAGUCCCAUAACGAGCGCAACCCCUAUCAUUAGUUGCCAUCAGGUCAAGCUGGGGACUCUAAUGAAACUGCCUACGCAAGUAGUGAGGAAGGUGGGGAUGACGUCAAAUCAUCAUGCCCCUUAUGAUCUGGGCUACACACGUGCUACAAUGGCCGGUACAACGGGCAGCGAAGGAGCGAUCCGGAGCGAAUCCUAAAAAGCCGGUCCCAGUUCGGAUUGCAGGCUGAAACUCGCCUACAUGAAGUUGGAGUUGCUAGUAAUCGCGAAUCAGAAUGUCGCGGUGAAUGCGUUCCCGGGUCUU
rnacentral:rRNA from 1 species